rnacentral:rRNA from 1 species
GAUGAACGCUGGCGGCGUGCCUAAUACAUGCAAGUCGAGAGAACGGACGAGAAGCUUGCUUUUCUGAUGUUAGCGGCGGACGGGUGAGUAACACGUGGAUAACCUACCUAUAAGACUGGGAUAACUUCGGGAAACCGGAGCUAAUACCGGAUAAUAUUUUGAACCGCAUGGUUAAAAAGUGAAAGACGGUCUUGCUGUCACUUAUAGAUGGAUCCGCGCUGCAUUAGCUAGUUGGUAAGGUAACGGCUUACCAAGGCAACGAUGCAUAGCCGACCUGAGAGGGUGAUCGGCCACACUGGAACUGAGACACGGUCCAGACUCCUACGGGAGGCAGCAGUAGGGAAUCUUCCGCAAUGGGCGAAAGCCUGACGGAGCAACGCCGCGUGAGUGAUGAAGGUCUUCGGAUCGUAAAACUCUGUUAUUAGGGAAGAACAUAUGUGUAAGUAACUGUGCACAUCUUGACGGUACCUAAUCAGAAAGCCACGGCUAACUACGUG